AACGUUUGCUUUCGGCGGGAACGACGAGCCCCGUAAACACGGGCCGCCCCCGCCAGAGAGAACCCCUAACUCUCGUUUUUCAUAAAGUUUUUUCUCGAGUAAACAAAGCAAAUAAAUUAAAACUUUCAACAACGGAUCUCUCGGCUCUGGCAUCGAUGAAAGAACGCAGCGAAAUCGCGAUAAGUAAUGUGAAUCGCAGAAUUCAGUGAAUCAUCGAAUCUUUGAACGCACAUUGCGCCCGCCAGUAUUCUGGCGGGCAUGCCUGUUCGAGCGUCAUUACAACCCUCAGGCCCCCGGGCCUGGCGUUGGGGAUCGGCGGAGCGCCCCCUGCGGGCACACGCCGUCCCCCAAAUACAGUGGCGGUCCCGCCGCAGCUUCCAUUGCGUAGUAGCUAACACCUCGCAACUGGAGAGCGGCGCGGCCACGCCGUAAAACACCCAACUUCUGAAUGUUGACCUCGAAUCAGGUAGGAAUACCCGCUGAACUUAAGCUA
rnacentral:rRNA from 1 species